GAUGAACGCUGGCGGCGUGCCUAAUACAUGCAAGUCGAGCGAACGGACGAGAAGCUUGCUUUUCUGAUGUUAGCGGCGGACGGGUGAGUAACACGUGGAUAACCUACCUAUAAGACUGGGAUAACUUCGGGAAACCGGAGCUAAUACCGGAUAAUAUUUUGAACCGCAUGGUUCAAAAGUGAAAGACGGUCUUGCUGUCACUUAUAGAUGGAUCCGCGCUGCAUUAGCUAGUUGGUAAGGUAACGCCUUACCAAGGCAACGAUGCAUAGCCGACCUGAGAGGGUGAUCGGCCACACUGGAACUGAGACACGGUCCAGACUCCUACGGGAGGCAGCAGUAGGGAAUCUUCCGCAAUGGGCGAAAGCCUGACGAAGCAACGCCGCGUGAGUGAUGAAGGUCUUCGGAUCGUAAAACUCUGUUAUUAGGGAAGAACAUAUGUGUAAGUAACUGUGCACAUCUUGACGGUACCUAAUCAGAAAGCCACGGCUAACUACGUG
rnacentral:rRNA from 1 species